AAGUAAUUAUAUAUAUAAACUGCUAAUUUAUAUUUGUUUACGUAAAUCUUAUGUA
rnacentral:tRNA from 1 species